rnacentral:rRNA from 1 species
GACGAACGCUGGCGGCGUGCUUAACACAUGCAAGUCGAACGGAAAGGCCCUGCUUUUGUGGGGUGCUCGAGUGGCGAACGGGUGAGUAACACGUUAGUAACCUGCCCUUUACUUUUGGAUAACUUCAGGAAACUGGGGCUAAUACCGGAUAGGUGCUCCUGCUGCAUUGUUUGGGUUGGAAAGUUUCGGCGGUUGGGGAUUGACUCGCGGCUUAUCAGCUUGUUGGUGGGGUAGUGGCUUACCAAGGCUUUGACGGGUAGCCGGCCUGAGAGGGUGACCGGCCACAUUGGGACUGAGAGACGGCGCAGACUCCUACGGGAGGCAGCAGUGGGGAAUAUUGCACAAUGGGCGGAAGCCUGAGGCAGCAACGCCGCGUGCGGGAUGACGGCCUUCGGGUUGUAAACCGCUUUCGCCUGUGACGAAGCGUGAGUGACGGUAAUGGGUAAAGAAGCACCGGCUAACUACGUG